GAGGGGUGGAGCGGUACGCCCGUCGCUCCGGCGAUGCUUGACAAUAUCCCUCCAGCUUGUCGAUGUCCGAUGAUGAAGAUGUUUGGCCUCGUUAGCUCAAACAGAUGGGCGGCCUUCGCCUUGUCGGUUCCCGGCCUGGUGGUGUCCGCCUCGUCGGUGUCGGACAUGGUGGCUUUCCUUCGCCUCGUUGGUGCCCGGCAAGAUAGGUGUAGCUUCAUCGGAAGAAAAACAUGUCGGUGAAGUGGUUUCACCUCGUCAGAUCUUGGACGAUGUUGGGGAAAGGUGUUAAUGUAG
rnacentral:rRNA from 1 species